rnacentral:rRNA from 1 species
UACAGAGGUCUCAAGCGUUGUUCGGAUUCAUUGGGCGUAAAGGGUGUGUAGGUGGCGCGCUAAGUCGAAACGUGAAAUCCCUGGGCUCAACCCAGGAACUGCGUCCGAUACUGGGAGGCUUGAAUCCGGGAGAGGGAAGUGGAAUUCCGGGUGUAGUGGUGAAAUGCGUAGAUAUCCGGAGGAACACCAGUGGCGAAGGCGACUUUCUGGCCUGUUCUUGACGCUGAGGCGCGAAAGCUAGGGGAGCAAACGGG